rnacentral:tRNA from 1 species
AGUAAAGUCAGCUAAUUAAGCUCCUGGGCCCAUACCCCAGACAUGUAGGUUAAAGCCCUCCUUUUACUA